GGGUUGUGAGGUUAAGCGACUAAGCGUACACGGUGGAUGCCCUGGCAGUCAGAGGCGAUGAAGGACGUGCUAAUCUGCGAAAAGCGUCGGUAAGGUGAUAUGAACCGUUACAGCCGGCGAUGUCCGAAUGGGGAAACCCAGUGCAAUUCGUUGCACUAUCGUUAACUGAAUACAUAGGUUAACGAGGCGAACCGGGGGAACUGAAACAUCUAAGUACCCCGAGGAAAAGAAAUCAACCGAGAUUCCCCCAGUAGCGGCGAGCGAACGGGGAGCAGCCCAGAGUCUGAAUCAGCUUGUGUGUUAGUGGAACGGUCUGGAAAGUCCGACGGUACAGGGUGAUAGUCCCGUACACCAAAAUGCACAGGCUGUGAACUCGAAGAGUAGGGCGGGACACGUGGUAUCCUGUCUGAAUAUGGGGGGACCAUCCUCCAAGGCUAAAUACUCCUGACUGACCGAUAGUGAACCAGUACCGUGAGGGAAAGGCGAAAAGAACCCCGGCGAGGGGAGUGAAAAAGAACCUGAAACCGUGUACGUACAAGCAGUGGGAGCACCUUCGUGGGGUGACUGCGUACCUUUUGUAUAAUGGGUCAGCGACUUAUAUUCAGUAGCAAGGUUAACCGUAUAGGGGAGCCGUAGGGAAACCGAGUCUUAACUGGGCGUUAAGUUGCAGGGUAUAGACCCGAAACCCGGUGAUCUAGCCAUGGGCAGGUUGAAGGUUGGGUAACACUAACUGGAGGACCGAACCGACUAAUGUUGAAAAAUUAGCGGAUGACUUGUGGCUGGGGGUGAAAGGCCAAUCAAACCGGGAGAUAGCUGGUUCUCCCCGAAAGCUAUUUAGGUAGCGCCUCGUGAACUCAUCUUCGGGGGUAGAGCACUGUUUCGGCUAGGGGGUCAUCCCGACUUACCAACCCGAUGCAAACUACGAAUACCGAAGAAUGUUAUCACGGGAGACACACGGCGGGUGCUAACGUCCGUCGUGAAGAGGGAAACAACCCAGACCGCCAGCUAAGGUCCCAAAGUCAUGGUUAAGUGGGAAACGAUGUGGGAAGGCACAGACAGCCAGGAUGUUGGCUUAGAAGCAGCCAUCAUUUAAAGAAAGCGUAAUAGCUCACUGGUCGAGUCGGCCUGCGCGGAAGAUGUAACGGGGCUAAACCAUGCACCGAAGCUGCGGCAGCGACGCUUAGGCGUUGUUGGGUAGGGGAGCGUUCUGUAAGCCGUUGAAGGUGUCCUGUGAGGGAUGCUGGAGGUAUCAGAAGUGCGAAUGCUGACAUAAGUAACGAUAAAGCGGGUGAAAAGCCCGCUCGCCGGAAGACCAAGGGUUCCUGUCCAACGUUAAUCGGGGCAGGGUGAGUCGACCCCUAAGGCGAGGCCGAAAGGCGUAGUCGAUGGGAAACAGGUUAAUAUUCCUGUACUUGGUGUUACUGCGAAGGGGGGACGGAGAAGGCUAGGUCAGCCGGGCGACGGUUGUCCCGGUUUAAGCAUGUAGGCUGGUUAUCCAGGCAAAUCCGGAUAAUCAAGGCUGAGGUGUGAUGACGAGGCACUACGGUGCUGAAGUGAUAAAUGCCAUGCUUCCAGGAAAAGUCUCUAAGCUUCAGUUACACAGGAAUCGUACCCGAAACCGACACAGGUGGUCAGGUAGAGAAUACCAAGGCGCUUGAGAGAACUCGGGUGAAGGAACUAGGCAAAAUGGUACCGUAACUUCGGGAGAAGGUACGCUCCUAGCGGUGAUGAGACUUGCUCUCUAAGCUGCCGGGAGUCGCAGAUACCAGGUGGCUGCAACUGUUUAUUAAAAACACAGCACUGUGCAAACACGAAAGUGGACGUAUACGGUGUGACGCCUGCCCGGUGCCGGAAGGUUAAUUGAUGGGGUUAGCGUAAGCGAAGCUCUUGAUCGAAGCCCCAGUAAACGGCGGCCGUAAAUAUAAC
rnacentral:rRNA from 1 species